CAUUGUGACAGCUAGAGCUAGUGUUUCAAGUUAACUUCAAAGGACUUAUGAAUUUGCUCUUUAAUUUAAAAUGUUUCUACAAAUACAAACUUAAUGAAGAAUAUGCUCUGUCCUACUAUUUCUUUCUAUGGAAAACUUUUCUUUGAACACUACAUUUCACUUCAGACAAGUACCAGUACAACAUGUUUACAACCAUCAAUUACGAAAGUUAUUUAUCUUCAAAAAAGAUAUAUCUGAGGCUAAGGAAAAUUCUACCAAUCUGAGGCAUUAUAAAGACAAUACCUCAGCAUAUCCAUUAAUUGCUAAUAGCCAAAAGGGAGAUGGAUAAUAACUAUGCAUGAAUUGUAAACUUCCCCCUAAUCCUAUGAGACUGGAUAACAUGAGUGCCAGGUGCAGUGAAUAUUAGAAAAUCAAAAAUAACGACUCAGCAGAACCCAUCCAUCUUUUGUUGCCUUUUACAUGUUCCUUAGACAUAGUAUAACAAUUCUGAGUGACAGAGGCAGUGAAAAUACUAGAAAAUCCCAAAAACAGACUAAAAGUAUUUCUUCUUUCAGGAGGACUCAAUCUAUUGUUUUGGAGGCAACAUGAUCUUUAGAGAUAAUAUAAGAUUUGCUAUGUGCAGUAAAAAUACUGGAAAAUCAAAAAUUUAAUUUUUCAUCAGAAAGAGACUAACCAUAGACCCAUGAAUCGAUUAUUGCUUGCUACAUAUUCCUUAGACAUGUAAAACACAUCUGAGUACCAAAUGCCGAGAAAAUACUGGAAAAUCAAAAAUGACUACUCAGCAACCACCAUCAAUCUAUUGUUGCCUCCUACAUGAUCAUUAGAGAUAGAAUAACAUUUCCGACUGCCAUGUUUAUUGCACAAAUACUGAAAAAUCAUAAAUGUAUGUUUUCAACAAAAGACCAAAAGUAUAUCUUUCUUCAAGAGGACUCAGCAACAGCCAUAAAUCCUAAUAAUGAUCCUUGGACAUGGUAUAGGAUUUUUGAGUGGCAAGUGCAGUGAAAACUGGCACUCCGAAAAGUUAUCCAGUCAUUAAGGAUCUUGUAAGAGGCAAAAAAAGAAAAUCUCUGCAGUCACUUCAUUUUUUGCAAUUAAAAAGUGCUAAAGGAAUUUAUCCACACAUCUCUGAGUACUCCUCCUAAAACAAUAACAACUUUAACAUACUUUCAAUCUCUGUUCUAUUUUUUCUGAAGAGAAACAAUCUUUGAUGAUUGUAAGUGUAUAAGUUUGCCAUACAAAUGCAUAGAAGAAGGAAACAUAAUAAUUAUUUGUUCUUAAUCAAGUUUGCAACAGGAACAUUGCAGAAUA